rnacentral:antisense_RNA from 1 species
CGCUAUGGCGGUUGUACGUGGGAGACUUUCGGGUCUGCCGGUUCUUUGCUCCGGUUCGCCAACCUGCGUACAACUGCCACCCUA